AUGCAAGAAAAAAAGAAAAAAAAAAAAAAAGAAAAAGAAAAAGCUUUUCCUUCUUCAAAUCGUGAAGCACCCCCCUCCCCCUUCUGUUUUCUUUUCCCUUAUUUUUCGUCUGUGGCGUUCAAAGCUGCUCGUGCCCAACUGCACCGCUGCGUUAGCCUUGUCGAUGCUAACCCAAAGCUGCUCACUGUUCAGCACCUAAAGCCGCUCGCAUACGUCGACCCAACCCUCAUUGUCGUUUGUUUGCGUUGCCAACCAGUGCCUGUCGCUUUCAAUCGGAGGACGCCGAGACCAAGCCAGGCGUCGUUCUUCCUCAGUUUUGUCGGUCACGAAAUUCUAUGAUUUGGGUUGGAUUCAAGAUUUUGAGAUUUUGGUUUUAGGACGUUGCCCAGCAUAGUGGAGGUUCGAUUUCGACUGCUUAAUUGAACUGUGGUGGUGGUUUUGGAACAAACAACGUGUUGGGAUUCAACUCAAAGUGUGUGGAACUUGGUGGUUGGUGUGCUUGAAGUGAAUUUUAUGUCUAAACUUGAGGUAAAGGUAGAGAUAGACCGGUGAAUGAUAAGAGGGAUUCGUGAUCCCAACUAUUUUGACAUGUUGUCGCUUCCGCACUUAGGGUUCAUCUGGCUCAUCAAGAUGUACUGCGCCAAUUAGUUGAUUUAAUUGGAAUUACAUCUAUUAUGGAGGUUUUGGUGCGACUUGUUGUUGCUGAUGAUCAUGUCUAUCCAAAUUUUAUGGAUGUGAUGCAAUGGUUGUCGAGAGUGAUAUGCUGGAAAUGAUUGUUGAUAAGCUGAGUCCAUCUAUGCAUGACAAAUUGAAGGAACUAUUGACAUGGAUCUGAUUACCACGGGAGUAUCGACAAGCGAAAGGAUGCGAAAGGAGAGUUUAUCAUCGGCAACUUGCAACAUUAUUAUGGAGAAAAUGCAGCUUGGAGGACCCUACAUGCGCCUGGCCGAGUUGCUAGAGGAGCUGAAGAAGAAGAAUCCUGAUAAUGAAGUCCUUCUCAACAACGUAUAUUACAUCUCUUAAUCUCUCAAACCCUCCCAAAUUUGUAGACAAAUAAAAUUGUGUUGCCCUUACACGAAAGAUUUUGUUGCCCUUGUAAAAUCAUAAUCUUUGUAUUACUUGUAAUUUGUGUUUUCAAGGCCUGAAUUAUUGUACGCCUUUUAAAUUAUAAUUUUAUAGCAGAAUUUGCGGAUUAAA